UAAGAAAAAAAAGGUCAUAAUCUGCUUUGAGAUGUGGAUUUUGUUUCUCUUUAAUCUUAAUGCUUUAAUUCCUGUUUUUCCACAUAUCCAAAAGAGGAGGAGGAGGACUACUAGAUUUUGAGAUUAAAAAAAAUUGCUGCAAACCAAAUGUGUAGGUAGAAUGCCAGUGAGUUGUCUCUUAAUAUUUGCCCCUAGUUCCAGUCUUUGGAAUAUAGUCUCACUAUUUCUUUUCACAGAAAUUUUGGCCAAGAAAUGCUUAAAAAAAAAAAAAAAGAAAACAAAAAACAAAACAACCCAAAUAAGCCCCCAAACUGUAAACAUUGAUGUCAUAUUCAUUUUUUCUUUUAAAGGUAAUUUACGAGAUCACAGUAAAUUUGAUUGGUGAUGGCCCUGAACAAAUACAGCUCUUUAAUUUGAGGUGCCAUUUUGAAGACUGAGACUGGAGUGCUUUUCUGAGGAUAAAGGAAAUCUUUGCGAAUGUCUUUUUUAAUAUAGCAAAAAUAUGAAUCCUGAGACUGAAUUCUCUAAAGGGUCUAUACAACGUAAUAGAUGUUGGUGGAAGCAUUUACACCCAGUCAGCUUGAAGAGUCUCAAAUGGACCCUACCACUGAGAAAUCAAGAUGGCAGUCCACUUGAGGAAAAUGGAUUAAUACACGAAUGCUGUGAUAUAUGCAACCAAGACAGGGUUCUUUUAACAUGGAGUUCAUGAAAUGAAGAUAUAGGUUUCUUACCUGUAGUCCCAACAUAAUGGACAGUGGAUUUGACUUUCUAAAGACUUUUUGUAUUACUGAGUAUAUUUUCAGAGAAGAUGGUAUAUUAACACAGAUGAUAGUUUGUAUGCCUGCCAUUUUUAAUAGUUUUGUAUGACCUUUUGAUAUGUUACCUUUAAUAA